GGCCCCGCUUUGUGGUUUCCAGGGCUGACUAAUUUCAGGGAGCCAUAUUAUUUGUUUACUUUCAUCCGUUUAUCUGCUCUCUGCCGUGAGCAAAUAUUUUCAAUGAUAUUACCCUCCUGCCUGAAUAUUGUGGUGAUCUCAGACCUCAUUUCCUGCUAGAAAGCAUAUGAACUCUGCUCUCCACUGGCCUAUUCACACUAUGAACCCAACAGGAUUUCCUGCAGCAGGCUAAGCACAUAUAUGGGAAUCAGCUGGCUUGGCCUAAACUAAAGAAAUAGAUAACAACACUCCAACCAUCUGCUACUGUAUGUGCUGUAUGUGUAGCACUUGUCCCACAAUCUCAGCCUGAAGUAGAUCCACAAAAAAGUAAGAUCAGAGUGGCACACGUAACAUGCAGGAGACAAAGCUUCAAGCCCCUACAGAGGAAUAUACAGAUUCUCAUGGAACAGGAAUAAAUUCACUGGUGAUGAACAGCCUGGAGGAAUGCAAGCAAAAUAUUUACGAUUUUUCAUGACCUGAUCUUUCCUGUACAGAAUAAAUGGAAGUAUGGGCGUUUAAUGAUCAUACAAGACUUCACAGAAGAAGAAUCCCACUCAACACCUACAGUCUUUUUUGCUCCACAGCACUAUGGUAUGCACUCAUCUUCAUGGAGAGAAAAAAAACACGCGUUUUAUAUUCAGUAAGGAAACUGUUACAAGUGAGGAUUUUUCAAGCCUAUGAAGAUCGAACAAAAUGGGAAAACAUAAUAGAAAAUGCAACAAAUCUUUAGUGUUUGAAGAAUGGUGCAAGUAGGCACACAGUGUCUGCACCUUAUCCAAACUGCCACGCUUAUCAGGUUCAUUCUAAUAAACCUAGCGAAGAUCUUAACUGCUGUUUUUAG
rnacentral:lncRNA from 1 species